GUCAGGGUGACCACAGAGGCAAUCUGGGCUUUGGCAGGAGGGUAAGAUAAGUGCUCUCUGCCUCUCCCAGUUCUCUGGUAAGUCAGUCUUCAAUCCAACUGGAGAAUUUCUGAGUUUGGGAUUGGAGUUGCCAUUCAGAACCUAUAUUAUCUCAUCCUCACCUUUCCUUCCUUCCUCAGCCAGGAUUUAGAGUCUAAACCCCCUGCAUAUCCCUUCUCCCAGCUGUAGGAAAAAGUGAUGAUAUCUUCUGUCCUGGAUCCUUUCAAAGCCCAACCCAUUGAAAAGGAAAGAAAACAUUACAGUUAAGAAGAUGGUGACCAAAGUUGAAAUAGUGAGCAGGAUCCACCCCUACUGCCCACCACCAGACAUGCACAAGGAACACAGCACAGGAGUAGCUGAUGGAAAUCUUGGAAAAGCAGAAUUUCUGGAAACCCAGAGUCUCCCUGGACCAGCCAACAAGAUUCCAUGCCCUCUGCCAUGACCCUCCCUAAUCCAUUUUGCUCAAUUUCCUUUGGGUCCUUUUUUAUGGCCACAAGUUGUCUUAGGACUGCUCUUCUUGCCUUAGACUGUUUCUGGUCAUUUUCCCCAAACUUCUUGUUUGCUCGGGGCUUGGUCCUUCCCAAGCUCAAGGUUACCUUCCGUCUCCCAACGUGCCUCCUCUGUGCCAUGAAUAUGGAGAAACAAGCUCUGUUGGGACCCCACUCACCCUCAUCCAGUGCAUUUCAUUCACCCUUUCAGUGCCUCACUCCCGCCAUGGCUCCCCGGAGCAAUGACAUCCACUCCUGAAGAAUCCGUGGCCCACUUAGGAGGCAGAGUGUCCAGUCUUGUCUGCCCAGGCACCCUGUGCAACCACCUACUCCUGGGCCUGGCCCUUUCCCAUUUUGUUUCUUUUCAUUUUUCUCUUCCCAGGCUAGAGGAUUUUUUUCCCCUCCCAGAAUAACUAAAUUCCUUUGGCUUCUUGUUUGUGGAAGGUAUUCUUGCUGUUAUCACAGAUCUUCUCUCCUUUACUUUUUCCUUUAUGGGAUUAAUAUCCUUUAAGGAUUCAGGCUUUUGAGGAAAAUAAAAACCAAGGAAAAUGUUAGGCUAUUUCUGCUUUACUCCCAGUCACACCCUACUCUUGUUUAAGUUGGGGCCGGGGGGUGCCGUGCAGAAGGUGAACUGUGAGGAAAAGAAAAAAAACUGAAGGAGAAAAAAUUGUCAUACCGUGCAAUACUAUACAGCCAGCUGCACUCAUAAUGGGCAGUCAAAUUCUGCGGUCUAUUCAAAGUUAUUUCCUAUAGUCCUUCCUAAUCGGCCUUGAGAUAGGGGAGGAAAAGAAGACGGG
ensembl:lncRNA